UUGCACCCAGAUUCCGCGGCGGACGGGUGAGUAAUGCCUAGGAAUCUGCCUGGUAGUGGGGGACAACGUUUCGAAAGGAACGCUAAUACCGCAUACGUCCUACGGGAGAAAGCAGGGGACCUUCGGGCCUUGCGCUAUCAGAUGAGCCUAGGUCGGAUUAGCUAGUUGGUGGGGUAAAGGCCUACCAAGGCGACGAUCCGUAACUGGUCUGAGAGGAUGAUCAGUCACACUGGAACUGAGACACGGUCCAGACUCCUACGGGAGGCAGCAGUGGGGAAUAUUGGACAAUGGGCGAAAGCCUGAUCCAGCCAUGCCGCGUGUGUGAAGAAGGUCUUCGGAUUGUAAAGCACUUUAAGUUGGGAGGAAGGGCAGUAAGUUAAUACCUUGCUGUUUUGACGUUACCAACAGAAUAAGCACCGGCUAACUUCGUGCCAGCAGCCGCGGUAAUACGAAGGGUGCAAGCGUUUAAUCGGAAUUACUGGGCGUAAAGCGCGCGUAGGUGGUUUGGUAAGAUGGGAUGUGAAAUCCCCGGGCUCAACCUGGGAACUGCAUCCAUAACUGCCUGACUAGAGUACGGUAGAGGGUGGUGGAAUUUUCCUGUUGUAGCGGUGAAAUCGCGUAGAUUAUAGGGAAGGAAUCACCAGUGGCCGAAGGCCGACCAUCUUGGACUUGAUACUGACACCUGAGGUGGCGAAAACCCGUGGGGGAGCAAAACAGGAUUUAGAAUACCCCUGGG
rnacentral:rRNA from 1 species